rnacentral:rRNA from 2 species
GAUGAACGCUGGCGGCGCGCCUAACACAUGCAAGUCGAACGGUUAAAGCACCUUUUAGGUGUGUAUAAAGUGGCGAACGGCUGAGUAACACGUGGGCAACCUGCCCUCCUCUUGGGGAUAGCCUCGGGAAACCGAGGAUAAUACCCGAUACUUCAAUGUGGCCGCAUGACGACAUUGAGAAAGCUUUUGCGGAGAAGGAUGGGCCCGCGGCCUGUUAGCUUGUUGGUGGGGUAGAGGCCUACCAAGGCAAUGAUGGGUAGCUGGGUUGAGAGACCGACCAGCCAGAUUGGGACUGAGACACGGCCCAGACUCCUACGGGAGGCAGCAGUGGGGAAUCUUGCACAAUGGGCGAAAGCCUGAUGCAGCGACGCCGCGUGCGGGACGAAGGCCUUUCGGGUUGUAAACCGCUUUCAGCAGGGACGAGGCGAAGGUGACGGUACCUGCAGAAGA